GACGAACGCUGGCGGUAUGCUUAACACAUGCAAGUCGAACGAGACGAGAUGGAAGGAUCCUUCGGGUGACGGAAAUCUUAGAAAGUGGCGAACGGGUGAGUAACGCGUGGGUAACCUGCCCUAUGGAAAGGAAUAGCCUCGGGAAACUGGGAGUAAUGCCUUAUAAUAUACGAGAGUCGCAUGGCUUUUGUAUUAAACGCUCCGGUGCCAUAGGAUGGACCCGCGUCCCAUUAGCUAGUUGGUGAGAUAACAGCUCACCAAGGCGACGAUGGGAAACCGGUCUAAGGGGGCAAACGGUCACAGUGGAAAUGAGACACGGUCCAGACCCUUACGGGAGGAAACAGUGGGUAUUAAUGCGAAUUGGGGUCACCCCUGACGAAGCAAUACCGGUGAGGGGAAGAAGUUUUGCGGAUCGUAAAGCUCUGUUAUUGGGAAAGAAAAAAGCCGGUACCAAAGAAGAAAGCCCCGGCUAACUACGUGCCAGCAGCCGCCGUAA
rnacentral:rRNA from 1 species